UUGAAACAAGAGAUGCUCUUUAAGGAUUAGUUGUAUUUUCAAAAACCACAUCAGAUGGAAAACGGAGAGUCACAGAAACUCUGGGCUUGGCUUUGAGUUGGAAGAUGUUGCAAUGAUCUGAACCAGCAGUGACCUCAGAGAUGGUGGCCCUGGAAAGGAUUGGCUCUCACCUGAGCUUCCACCUUGAGUUAAGGACACAGCCUGGCUCCUGUCUACGGAUCAGUUAAGCAUUGCAAUCAUGGAGCCAAAACCUCACAAACUGGAGUGGUUCAUAGCACUGUAAGGACAGCUUAACAAUCCUGUCCUCAGGCAAAGGUUUCAUGAUGAAGACACUAGAAGCAAUAGCAACAGAAGCAAUCCUCACCAACACUUGAUAUUUUCUUUCUUUUGAUAGUAGCUCUCCUAAUGUGAGGUGGUGUCUCACUGUAUCCUGUGCCGUUUUGAUGAAGGAACAUCAGAUCAUGCUUCCUCUGCUGAACACCCUCUCAAGAGUAAAAGCCUCGGCCUUCCUGGUGGCCUCCCAAGCCUGAAGGAUCCCUGGUGACCUCUGGCCUCAUCUCUGGAUGAUGCCCUGUCCUUCCCCCAAGCUGUUUCCCAAGCCCACCUAGCAGCCCCGAUGUCCUUCUGUAUCUGCCUGAUGUCUCCGCUUCACCAGGACUUCAUAUAAGGUGGAGGUGAAGGUCAAGUGCAGAGCCCUCCUGGCACAUCCAGUGCUCUCUCUGUCAUGGAGAGGGCUGAGGAGGGAGAAUGGUGCUUCCAGGAAAGCAGAGCUGAGGCCCGCUGGACUCCAGGCAGCUCUCUGCUCUCCUUGCCUUUUGCCUCAGGUAAAAAAAAAUAAGUGCAAUGGCUCAGAACACAGUCACCCUCCUCGUUCCCUCUUGGCUAGGAUGGAAGGCAUUGCUAACAGGGGAUAGUGGUGACUGGAGAGGCCUUGCAGUGUCCCAUUUGCAGAAGCCACUGGGAUGGUGAUUUCUGCAGAGUGGGAGGGGUGAGA
rnacentral:lncRNA from 1 species